rnacentral:sRNA from 21 species
AAAUUCUAGAUGGGCUACAGAGAGCCGCUUACGCGGCACUGUGAUGUAGCCUGACGGUGU